rnacentral:rRNA from 1 species
AAUGAACGCUGGCGGCGUGCUUAACACAUGCAAGUCGAACGCGAAAGGGACUUCGGUCCUGAGUAAAGUGGCGCACGGGUGAGUAACGCGGAGAUAACCUGUCCUCGUGUUCGGGAUAAUAUGCCGAAUGGUGUACUAAUACCGGAUAUUCUGGUUGUUCACAAGGUAUGCAAGCAAAGGUGGCCUCUGAUAUAAGCUACUGCAUAAGGAGGGGUGUGCGUACCAUUCGCUAGUAGGUGGGGUAAUGGCCCACCUAGGGGACGAUGGUGAGCGGGUCUGAGAGGAUGAUCCGCCACACUGGCACUGGAACACGGGCCAGACUCCUACGGGAGGCAGCAGUGAGGAAUAUUGCGCAAUGGGGGCAACCCUGACGCAGCGACGCCGCGUGAGUGAGGAAGGCCUUCGGGUCGUAAAGCUCUGUCAAAGGGAAAGAAGUGCAUGGUGGUUAAUACCCAUCAUGUUUGACGGUACCCUUAAAGGAAGCACCGGCUAACUCCGUGCCAGCAGCCGCGGUAACAC